AUGAAAAAUCAGUAACAUAAAACAUAUUAUAAAUCUAUAUCCAUUAACAAUAAACCAAAUCAUAAAUGUUUUUAUUUUCACCAGCUUAUUCGUAUCCACGGAGUUCAUAGGGAUGUCCCCACUACACGUGAACACUUUCUUUUAACAAUAUCAAUUACAGGGCCUUCCCUAUACCCCGUCCGGUAUAAAUAUCAAAUCAUUAAACCUCAAUACCCCGUCUGGUAUGAAAGUGAAGCAGGUCAUUCCCAUACCUCGUCCGGUAUGAGCGCUAAAUUAUUCAAUAUCCAUACCCCGUCCGAUAUAAGACAACGUUCACAGUAGGGUUUCCUAUAUACCUAGUCCAUUCACUAUCUCCUAGGAUAUCUGGUAAGGCUGUCGUUCAUCUGUUUAUUUAAUCACCCUACUUUUC
rnacentral:lncRNA from 1 species